rnacentral:rRNA from 1 species
GACGGAGGGUGCAAGCGUUGUUCGGAAUUACUGGGCGUAAAGGGCGCGUAGGCGGUCUGUUAAGUUCGGUGUGAAAGCCCCCGGCUCACCUGGGGAACUGCGCCGGAAACCGACAGACUCGAGUACCGGAGAGGAGGGUGGAAUUCCUGGUGUAGCGGUGAAAUGCGUAGAUAUCAGGAGGAACACCGGUGGCGAAGGCGGCCCUCUGGACGGAUACUGACGCUGAGACGCGAAAGCGUGGGGAGCAAACAGG